GGUCGUAUGGUGUAGUCGGUUAGCACACGAGACUCUGAAUCUCGGGACCUGAGUUCGAAUCUCAGUAUGACCU
rfam:Catenaria anguillulae PL171 BCR44scaffold_11, whole genome shotgun sequence.